AUUGAACGCUGGCGGCAUGCCUUACACAUGCCAGUCGAACGGCAGCACGGGUGCUUGCCCCUGGUGGCGAGUGGCGAACGGGUGAGUAAUACAUCGGAACAUGUCCUGUAGUGGGGGAUAGCCCGGCGAAAGCCGGAUUAAUACCGCAUACGAUCCACGGAUGAAAGCGGGGGACCUUCGGGCCUCGCGCUAUAGGGUUGGCCGAUGGCUGAUUAGCUAGUUGGUGGGGUAAAGGCCUACCAAGGCGACGAUCAGUAGCUGGUCUGAGAGGACGACCAGCCACACUGGGACUGAGACACGGCCCAGACUCCUACGGGAGGCAGCAGUGGGGAAUUUUGGACAAUGGGCGAAAGCCUGAUCCAGCAAUGCCGCGUGUGUGAAGAAGGCCUUCGGGUUGUAAAGCACUUUUGUCCGGAAAGAAAUCCUUGACUCUAAUACAGUCGGGGGAUGACGGUACCGGAAGAAUAAGCACCGGCUAACUACGUGC
rnacentral:rRNA from 1 species